rnacentral:rRNA from 1 species
CCCCUAGAUGUUCUGGGCCGCACGCGCGCUACACUGAUUCAUGCAACAAGUUUUGUCCUUGGCUGAUAGGCCUGGGUAAUCUUUGAACGUGAAUCGUGAUGGGGAUAGAUGAUUGCAAUUAUUCAUCUUCAACGAGGAAUUCCUAGUAAACGCAAGUCAUCAGCUUGCAUUGAUUACGUCCCUGCCCUUUGUACACACCGCCCGUCGCACCUACCGAUUGAAUGGUCCGGUGAAAUCUCGGGACGGCGGCUCGGUCGCUUGCGUCCGACUGCUGAAACUUGAUUAAACCAUAUCAUUUAGAGGAAGGUGAAGUCGUANCA